rnacentral:lncRNA from 1 species
CAGGUCACGCGGCUUGGUGGCGCCGGCCGCCAGCACCACGGCGUCGUGCUUGCCCACCAGGUCCUGCGCCGUGACGUUGCCGCCCACGUGGGCGUUCAUCACGAACUUGACGCCCUCCGCCGCCAUCAGGUCCACACGGCGCUGCACCACGUCCAGCUUGCCGGCCUUCAUGUUGGGCACGCCGUACAUCAUCAGGCCGCCGGCGCGGUCCGCGCGCUCGUACACGGUCACCUCGUGGCCCAUCUUGUUCAGCUGGUCGGCCGCUGCCAGGCCGGCGGGGCCGCUGCCCACCACGGCCACCUGCUUGCCGGUGCGCAG